GCUACUGCUAUUGGGGUUCGGCUAAGCCAUGCGAGUGGAGGGCGUCCCGCAAGGGAUGGCCCCGCAGACGGCUCAGUAACACGUCGUCAACCCACCUUAGGGUGGGGGACAACCUCGGGAAACUGAGGAUAAUCCCCCAUAGGCGGGGAGGCUAGAAUGCGCCCCCGCUGAAAGCUCAGGCGCCCUAGGACGGGACGGCGGCCUACCAGGUAGUUGGUGGUGUGACG
rnacentral:rRNA from 1 species